GACGAACGCUGGCGGCGUGCCUAACACAUGCAAGUCGAACGGGGAUCAGAUGAAGGUUUACCUUAAUCUGAUUCUAGUGGCGAACGGGUGAGUAACGCGUGGGCAACCUGCCUCAUACAGGGGGAUAACACUGGGAAACUAGUGCUAAUACCGCAUAAUGUCACGAUAUGGCAUCAUAAUGUGACCAAAGGAGCAAUCCGGUAUGAGAUGGGCCCGCGUCCGAUUAGCUAGUUGGUGAGGUAACAGCUCACCAAGGCGACGAUCGGUAGCCGAACUGAGAGGUUGAUCGGCCACAUUGGGACUGAGACACGGCCCAGACUCCUACGGGAGGCAGCAGUGGGGAAUAUUGCGCAAUGGGGGAAACCCUGACGCAGCAACGCCGCGUGAAGGAUGAAGGUUUUCGGAUUGUAAACUUCUUUGAUGAGGGACGAACAAAAUGACGGUACCUCAAAACAAGCCACGGCUAACUACGUGCCAGCAAGCCGCGGUAAAAU
rnacentral:rRNA from 1 species